UGCCAUCAAGUGGGCAUUGGACAGCCUUCGGUAUUAUCUACUUGGACGGAACUUUGAUUUGGAAACGGACCACCGGGCAUUGAGCUGGAUCAACUCCAUGAGGGAUAAGAACUCCCGUGUCACCAGAUGGUACUUGCAUUACAGCCAUAUUGCUUCAAUAUUACUUACAGAGCUGGAAAAACGAACUUGCUUGCCGAUUACCUGUCCCGCCUUCCUGAACUUGCAGUUCCUGGAGAGGAGGGAGGUGAUGUGACAGUUUGACCACUGUCCCUGUCUGUUUAACUGCCUAUCAAUAGCGCGCAUUGAUGGAUAGUGUAUGAACAGCAAACCUUCAAGCAUACAGUAUAUUCAGGCUAUUUAUUCAAGCAACACUCGCAAACAAUCUCUCCCUCUCAUCAUGGCUCUGUACUGCAGACUAAAAGAGUCAGGGUGGGGCUGAGGGCUUUAAAUAUGGCGUCAGGAAACACCUGCUGGCACUGAUUGGCCCAAUUUGGGCCAAACCAAUUUUCCUUGUGUCAAAGGAGUACACCGGACAUUGACAUUGGACAUUAAUGAGCAACUAGCCUAAAUGCACUUGUGAAAAUCACUGAUCUACAAGAUGAAAUGAACUUUAACACGCAUGCUGUAUUUUUGAUGAGUUUAUUCAUGGUUGAUUUGCAAAAUGCCACAGUAUUAUAAUCCCCCUGUUGAUUGGGCCUGUCUAGUGGGAGGGGCCAUGGGGUAUAAAAGGGGUGAGCUGCUGUCUUUCUGAAAGUCUGCUGUAUGCUGUUGCCAGAAGAGGUUGUCUGUGAUGCUAUCUACUGAGAUUAAAGACUUUUUGAAGUAAAGAGGAGCAUCUCAUCUGAAACUGAUGUCUAUCAUGGAUAUUUAACUGAAGUUCUGUGAGUAUCCCAACUUAACCAUGAAGAUGAACUGCAAACUGUAAGUCAUUAAUUUCUCAUUACUCUUGGGCACAUUGAUGUAUUUUUGCUUCUUGGUGAGUUAACCCGUUGGCUAAAGGUUGAUCUGAGCAGUAAGGAUGUUUUAUUGGUUCAUUGGUUUCUUAGGUGUUUGGUUUAUGUUGGUUUUAAUGAUUUGUUAAAAUGGUUACGAGAUCCAAGUUAUUGUUGUAAGCUGGAGUAAUUGGUUGGGUUCUGAUGUCUUAAGUCUUCUUUCCAGCUACUUUCCUGAGCUCUGCAUCUUCAACACACGAGUGUUGCUUUACUGAUGAGGGUGUGGUCUGAGUGAGCGGAGGUGCAUACUGGGAUACAGAGCUGUCUGAAGUCUACAGGUCUGUAGGCACGCCCCCUCAGGGGAAACCAAGUGUUUCAGAAACCGUCGUGACGUCAGUUAAAUGGACUAGAAUGUUCUUUAAGAUGGAGACGGGAUUCAGAAGGAGAAACGCCAGGGGGAGAUGAGGGGGCUCCUCAUCUCAACAGCUGAAACACAACUGCAGUCUGACACAGAGAACCAUGGAACACAUUCAACAGUCCCCUCCAUGCAUCGUGACUCCUCAUGAAAAGUUUCAUUUCCAAGAAGGUCUUAUUUGGGGCCAUCCCCAUAUGGAUCCUGCUCCUCAAGAGCCAACCCCCCUCCACUGAGUGGUCUUCUGAAGAGAUGACUUCCUUCCUGUCCUCAGGUUGAUUAAAGCUGCACCGUUUGCAUCUGUGAAGGCCCCUCAUUCAGGAAACCACUGGACUACAAAGAAAUGACUUCAGAAACGUUGAAUCAACCUGGGACACAUUUUGGAGACGCCAAGCAUAAUCCAUCACCAAUGUGGGACGCCACUGAAAAAUGUUGCACACAAUUAACUUCUCUGGAGACAUUGGUUGUUCUGUUCUGGGUGCCCUGGCAGGAGAGCUGGGGUUGGAUGAUGGAACGUUAUUUGGCAUGAGGUUUUUACCCUGCAUGAUUGUUUGGCCUUUUAUGGAUCAGUGGUGUGUGUGUUUGGGUUUGACAUGAGAUGGAUUUUUUCAUCGCUAGGGUUCAACUGUGUGUGUGGGUGUGUGUGUGUCUCCCACUCACACGUAGAACCCCAUACCAGGUGUGUGUGUGUGUGUGUGUGUGUCCGGCUUGCUUUGAUCGUGAUAAUGUUCAUACGGGGGUCUGUGUGAUUGGCUUGGGAUAUUGCAAUGGUCAACUAAAUCAUACCUGAUGGACGGCCACACGUUUACUUAAGAGCCUCCAGUAGACAUGAAGAGCCCUGAGUGACGCUCCGUAGCGAUAUCCAACACACUGGGCAGGAAGGAGAGUAUCCAACAAGCGGCGUGUUCAGAUCAGUGACUUCAAACUAGGACCAAUCAGGAUCAAUGGAGGAUGGACACCAAAAGGAAUUCCACAAGGAGAGUCUGACGUUGGAAAGGGACCUAAAUGGAUAUUCAAGAUGACCUUCAGACCUGUAAUGAGACGGCUCUUCCUACCUGGCUGGAUUGAUGGAGAGCCCUGUGGAUCUUGUCUUGCUCUCAGUUGCACGUCUUCUCAGGCUGAACUCUAAUUGUCUCGGACAGGAAUAGCUGAACAAUUGGUUCCCUUAAAUCAGAACCAAUCCGGGAACUCCAUCUAGUGCGCCCUUCGAGCUGAAGUUGUGCUCUUCAGCUGAGGAGGUAAGGAAACCUUCACUGGGGCUUCAAGAUGUAAAGAGGACAAUGUUUCAAAGUGUUCCAUGGUACUCUGAUGAAGACCGUUGGUGUGUUCCACUGGCUGAGAGGAAGAACCCACACAUCUUCCUCUUGGCCUUUCUCCUCUCAGAAUCCUGGCGCCAUCUUGAAGGAUAUUCCAGCUCAUGUAACUGAUGUCACGACAGAUUCACAAACACUUGGUUUCUCCUGAGGGGCGUUUCUAUAGAACUGAAGACUUCAGACGGCACUGUAUCCCAGCAUGCAUCUCUGCUCACUCAGACCACACCCCCAUGAGUAGGAUGCAACACUCUUGGGAUGGAGAUGUAGUGUUUUAUAAGUAACAAGGGAGCAGACUAAGGGGAUUAGAACGUAAUAGAAUGUCAAUUCUAAAUCUUUAAACCAUGAAGAUGGUUGGAAAAGUCAGGAAUUUGGCUUAUUUUUAAUAUGGGCAGUCCUUUCACUCGGAUGCUCACUUGAAAUGUACAUGCGUUGGCUGGCUGGCAUGAUUUGCUGUUGGUGAUGAGGCGGUCAGGGUGACGUUGCAGGGCUAUGGUCGGCUCUCUGUGAGCUCAACGUUUAGAUUUUCUCUGGUUUGUACCCUGAAUAAUCUAGAUAAUUGUAAAAUGUAGACACGGUUUUGCAUUGAAUGAUUCCAGGAUUUUAGGUUUAAAGUUGUUGUACAUGGUAGUUUGGUUCUUCGUAUGGUUUUGAGUGAUUAUAACUUGUACACACUGGGUGCAUAAUAAUGUAAUGUUACACUGAAUAGUAUUAAUGACCAACAGCAACAAACAGAUCUCCUCAAGGUAAGUCUGUUGGCUGUAUUUUAAUGAAGACCAUCGCUGGACUUCAGGAUCUUCCUCCGUUCAGCUCAAGGUGAGGCGCUGGUUACGUUUUUUCUUUGGUUGGUUCCGGCUGGAAUGUUCGGAUUCCAGUCGGACGGUUUGUGCUUCCCGCCGUGGAAGGUUCUGAGUGCGGUCACUUGAUUUAGUCCCAAUGGUUAGCAUAGAAAGUUGUAGUCUUGACAACCAUAAGAACACUAACACGAAUUUCGUACAAUAUGUUCAUUUUCGAUGGUUGCGCCGUACUUUUAACCACGUUGACGGGACUCUCGCUGCGUACAAAACGGCGUUCUACUGGCGGCCCAAUUUUUGGUGAAGGCUGAAAAUCAUUUCAAGGUGGAAGACAAUUUGACAUUUCUUCAAAGGAACCCAGCACCUGAAUAUGAGUUGAGUAAAUUUGAUUUAAUAUUGAUACUGCUUAGUGUUCAUUGUUACUUCACUGUUACUUGCUGAUAUAAACCUCCUGCUGUAGCUCAAAGGCGAGUCUGAGAGGCUGUGGACCGGAGGCUUGUGGUGCCAGGAUGGACCGGAGACUGAGGCUGGAGACCAGGGGCCUGCAGCACCGGACCAGAGGACCAGGAAUCCAUGGCUGAAGGAGCGGAUGGAGGCCCUGCCUGGUGGAGGAGCCAUGCUGAAAGCCCUGCCUGGUGGAGGAGCUGACGGAGGCCCUGCCUGGUGGAGGAUGUCUGUCGUGGGGACUCUGGUUUGGAGGAGAGCUGAUGGAGGAGCUGAUGGAGGAGCUGAGUCGCUGGAGGACGACUUGGAAUCGACCAACAAGGAUUCCUCAACGUGUUUCUGGAGCGGAGGCGAGCUGAUAGGGGAGCCGUGAAUCUGGAGGAUGACGUCACUCUACCAACAAGGAUUACCAGGACUCUGGCUGAGGAGAGCGGAUGGAGGAGCCAUAAAACCAGGAAUCUGGAGGACUGACGGAGAAGCCGUACAUCUGGAAGGCAAAUCCUGAGGACGAUCAGGACUCUACCAUCAAGGAUUCCUCACACAACUGAGCUGAACCCCACCUGAUCCGGACAUCCUGCUGGUCCCGUCUCCUCAGUUCAUCUGAGCCUCUUCCUCCAGAAGACAUGCUGAGCUCAGCAGUCUGAGGCUGAUACCAGGUAUCCAUGGCUGAAGGAGCUGAUGGUGGAGCCGUGCUGAAAGAGCGGAUGGAGGAGCCGUGCUGACGGCCCUGCCUGGUGGAGGAGCCGUGCUGACGGCCCUGCCUGGUGGAGGAUGUCUGUCGUGGGACCAGGACUCUGUCUGAGGAGAGCAGAUGGAGGAGCUGAGAUGCUGGAGGACAACUAGGAAUCGACCAACAAGGAUUCUUCAACGUGUUUGUGGAGCGGAGGCCAGCUGGCAGGGGAGCCGUGAAUCUGGAGGAUGACCAUCACUCUACCAACAAGGAUUACUUUAGGGCCAGACUCGCGCUGUUUGUUCCAGACCAGGACUCUGGCUGAGGAGAGCUGAUGGAGGAGCCAAGACUCUGUAGGACAACAUCACUCCACCAACCAGGAUCCUCAGACGAAUUACGUUUGUAACCAGACCAGGAAUCUGGAGGACUGAUGGAGAAGCCGUACAUCUGGAAGGCAAAUCCUGAGGACCAGCAGGACUCUACCAUCAAGGAUUCCUCAUAAGUUUGCAUUAUCUGGACAAAGUGGCCUAGACACACCUGAGCUGAACCUCACCUGAUCCUGUUUGGUCGGGGGUUGACACACCUGAGCUAAACCCACCCUGAUCCUGACAUCCUGCUGGUCCAGUCUCCUCAGUUCUCCUGAGCCUCGUCCUCCAGAAGACCUGCGUAGCUCAGCAGUCUGAGGCUGAUGGAUCAAUGACCUCCAGUGGGAGGGAUCUUCUUGACCCCACUUGUAACCGUGUGCUUCCACACGCCUUUCCCUCACAUCUGUCACUAACCUCACUACUUCACUACUCUCUACUGCUUCCUCUUUUCUUCCUUCUCUGUGGUUUAAACCUUUUAUACUGAAGGCGCGUCUUCCUGCCCUCAGAGGGUUCAGCGUUAGGGUUGAGAGUCAGGGUUUAGAGUCAGGGACAGAGCUGGUCAGGGAGGACUGCUUUUACACAAACCUCUUGACUUGCUUUCGGAAUGGUGGUGACAUUUUGAAAAGAUUCAUUUGGUAAAAUCUUUUCCUCUGCUUCCCUUUACAAAAUUGUAUCAAACUUCUGUCAAGUGUUUUUGUUUAAAUAUUAAAAUCCCACAUUGACUUCUA